UGGCGGCGUGCCUAACACAUGCAAGUCGAGCGAAGCGAUUCGGAGGGAAGUUUUCGGAUGGAAUCCGAAUUGACUGAGCGGCGGACGGGUGAGUAACGCGUGGGUAACCUGCCUCAUACGAGGGGGAUAACAGUUAGAAAUGACUGACUAAUACCGCAUAAGCGCACGUGACCGCAUGGUCGAGUGUGAAAAACUCCGGUGGUAUGAGAUGGACCCGCGUCUGAUUAGGUAGUUGGUGGGGUAACGGCCUACCAAGCCGACGAUCAGUAGCCGACCUGAGAGGGUGACCGGCCACAUUGGGACUGAGACACGGCCCAAACUCCUACGGGAGGCAGCAGUGGGGAAUAUUGCACAAUGGGGGAAACCCUGAUGCAGCGACGCCGCGUGAGUGAAGAAGUAUUUCGGUAUGUAAAGCUCUAUCAGCAGGGAAGAAAAUGACGGUACCUGACUAAGAAGCCCCGGCUAACUACGUGCC
rnacentral:rRNA from 1 species